rnacentral:sRNA from 1 species
AGCAGGCGCAAGGGAGACACUCUCCCUUGCGCCUGC